rnacentral:tRNA from 2 species
GCUGGCGUAGUUCAAUGGUAGAACGAGAGCUUCCCAAGCUCUAUACGAGGGUUCGAUUCCCUUCGCCCGCUCCA